AUUGAACGCUAGCGGGAUGCCUUACACAUGCAAGUCGAACGGCGUGGCGAACGGGGGAGGAAUGUAUCGGUACGUGCCCAGUCGCGGGGGAUAACUACGCCAAAGCGUAGCUAAUACCGCAAACUAUUGCAGUCGCCGGUAUGGGAUUAGCUAGUUGGUGGGGGAACGGCUCACCAAGGCGACGAUCCGUAGCUGGUUUGAGAGGACGAGCAGCCACACUGGGACUGAGACACGGCCCAGACUCCUACGGGAGGCAGCAGUGGGGAAUAUUGGACAAUGGGGGAAAGCCUGAUGCAGCCAUCCCGCGUGUGCGAUGAAGGCCUUCGGGUUGUAAAGCACUUUUGGCAGGAAAGCGGUACCUGCAGAAUAAGCACCGGCUAACUCCGUGCCAGCAGCCGCGGUAAUAC
rnacentral:rRNA from 1 species